rnacentral:rRNA from 1 species
UAGGGAAUCUUCCACAAUGGGCGAAAGCCUGAUGGAGCAACGCCGCGUGAGUGAUGAAGGUUUUCGGAUCGUAAAACUCUGUUGUUAGGGAAGAACACCCGGGUGAGGAUCCCGGUUUGACGGUACCUAACGAGGAAGCCCCGGCUAACUACGUGCCAGCAGCCGCGGUAAUACGUAGGGGGCAAGCGUUGUCCGGAAUUAUUGGGCGUAAAGCGCGCGCAGGCGGCUUACUAAGUCUGGUGUGAAAGCCCACGGCUCAACCGUGGAGGGCCAUUGGAAACUGGUAGGCUUGAGUGCAGGAGAGGAGAGCGGAAUUCCCGGUGUAGCGGUGAAAUGCGUAGAUAUCGGGGGGAACACCCGUGGCGAAGGCGGCUCUCUGGCCUGUAACUGACGCUGAGGCGCGAAAGCGUGGGGAGCAAACAGG